AAUUCGCCCUCGGCAGCGGCCAACCUCCAACUAGCCCCAAAUUACCCCCAGAUAUUCCUUGCUUUCUCCACAUGACCAUCCCACAUUUAGCUUCUUCCAAAACCUCAAUGAAACCCUCGAAUUGUAGAUCUAGGAACUGAACCCUAGCCGCCACUCGGUUCUUCUUCAUUUCCUCGAUCGAUCUGUCCUCUUUACGGUUGAGACUUACAUCAGUAGAAAGCUGUUGAUGAGAACUAUCCAUUGAUGUAAGAUUCACUCCGUUUCUCGGAGGUCGGAUAUUGGUCAACCAGCCGUUGACCGGCCAGAACUUUUUCUGAGGCUACCUCUUUUGCUUCAUCUCGAGAUCAAAUGGGUAUAACUCAUUCCCUUUCUUCUUUUCUUAUUUCAUUUUUGUGUGUAUUUGUUCUGUUAAAUACAGUGGUGCCAAUCAUGUUUCAGAUUGAUUAAGUGUUAAUUGCAGGUAUUUUUAUUAGUUGAUAAAUGAGCAUAAAAAUUCAAUUACGCGUAUCUUGAUUACUUUGUUUAGCAUGAACUCUUGUUUGAUUAAAAUUGACUUGUCUAUUUGAUUCGUCGUUCAUUUUUCUUUCUGUUUUCGUUUUGUUUAUUUGAGCCUGUUUUUUUUGGGGAUUUGGAUAAAAAGAAAUCUAAAAAGGAAAAGUAAUAAGAACCGGGGGCAAAAAGUGUAAUUAUAGAAGUGGUGUCUUCUAUGCUAAGUUUGGUGUUGUUCCACUGCUGAUUUGCAUAUUAUGACUGUUAAAUAAGAAUUUAAUUAAAAAAAUGCAACCGAAUAUAAAGAAAUAAACUCACAUAGAAAUCAAUGUGUUAUUAUAUAGUAUAUAUACAUAUUUUAAAAAAAUUAUCGAGCUAAACAGUGUAAUUUUCGACGAAGGGGUGUCGGUACACCUCUUGGGUGCAUGUGGUUCCGCCACUGGGUGUGUAGUAAUGGGUGAUAAGAGGAGGCUGUUAUUGUCUUGUGUGGGUGUGACUUACCGAUUUAAUCAUUAAUUGGCCAGGCUGUUAAAUUUGAAGCCAAAAAGUGGGAUUAAACACCCUGAUGACGGGCAGGCUUGAAUUAAGAGCUGGGCAUCUUCUGUUUAUGUUUGGAUAUUGUUAUAAAUAAAAUGUAAUUAUAGUAAAACUACUCAUUCCUUGUUGAUUUCGUUAAGGAUUGUAAUUAAGAGGCUUAGUUGUAAAUUCUAGGAUUUUAGUAAAUUCAAAUGCAAGC
rnacentral:lncRNA from 1 species